rnacentral:rRNA from 1 species
GACGAACGCUGGCGGCGUGCCUAAUACAUGCAAGUUGAGCGCUGAAGGUUGGUACUUGUACCAACUGGAUGAGCAGCGAACGGGUGAGUAACGCGUGGGGAAUCUGCCUUUGAGCGGGGGACAACAUUUGGAAACGAAUGCUAAUACCGCAUAAAAACUUUAAACACAAGUUUUAAGUUUGAAAGAUGCAAUUGCAUCACUCAAAGAUGAUCCCGCGUUGUAUUAGCUAGCUGGUGAGGUAAAGGCUCACCAAGGCGAUGAUACAUAGCCGACCUGGGAGGGUGAUCGGCCACAUUGGGACUGAGACACGGCCCAAACUCCUACGGGAGGCAGCAGUAGGGAAUCUUCGGCAAUGGACGAAAGUCUGACCGAGCAACGCCGCGUGAGUGAAGAAGGUUUUCGGAUCGUAAAACUCUGUUGGUAGAGAAGAACGUUGGUGAGAGUGGAAAGCUCAUCAAGUGACGGUAACUACCCAGAAAGGGACGGCUAACUACGUG